rnacentral:rRNA from 1 species
AACGAACGCUGGCGGCAUGCCUAACACAUGCAAGUCGAACGAGACCUUCGGGUCUAGUGGCGCACGGGUGCGUAACGCGUGGGAACCUGCCCUUAGGUUCGGAAUAACUCCCCGAAAGGGGUGCUAAUACCGGAUAAUGUCUUCGGACCAAAGAUUUAUCGCCUUUGGAUGGGCCCGCGUUGGAUUAGCUAGUUGGUAGGGUAAAAGCCUACCAAGGCGACGAUCCAUAGCUGGUCUGAGAGGAUGAUCAGCCACACUGGGACUGAGACACGGCCCAGACUCCUACGGGAGGCAGCAGUGGGGAAUAUUGGACAAUGGGCGAAAGCCUGAUCCAGCAAUGCUGCGUGAGUGAUGAAGGCCUUAGGGUUGUAAAGCUCUUUUACCCGGGAUGAUAAUGACAGUACCGGGAGAAUAAGCUCCGGCUAACCCCGUG